GGGGGUAUAGCUCAGCUGGGAGAGCAGCAGACUGAAGUUCCCACUCAAAUGCAGAUACUUUUCUGAAGGUCCCGCGUUCGAUCCGCGGUACCCCCA